rnacentral:rRNA from 1 species
AUUGAAUGCUGGCGGCAGGCUUAACACAUGCAAGUCGAGCGAGCGGCGGACGGGUGAGGAAUGUAUGGGAAACUGCCUGAGGGAGGGGGAUAACAACUGGAAACGGUAGCUAAUACCGCAUACCAUCAGAUGUGCCCAGAUGGGAUUAGCUAGUAGGUGGGGUAAUGGCUCACCUAGGCGACGAUCCCUAGCUGGUCUGAGAGGAUGACCAGCCACACUGGAACUGAGACACGGUCCAGACUACUACGUGAGGCAGCAGUGGGGAAUAUUGCACAUUGGGCGCAAGCCUGAUGCAGCCAUGCCGCGUGUGUGAAGAAGGCCUUCGGGGUGUAAAGCACUUUCAGCGAGGAGACGUUACUCGCAGAAGAAGCACCGGAUAACUCCGUGACAGCAGCCGCGGUAAUUC